CGGAGAAGGAAGGACUAAGAAUUUCACUUGAUGACCCUUGCCUUUUUGGGUCUGGGAUGAGCCGCGCGGAGCGCACCCUUAACUACCCAGAGUGCUGUGCCUUUAAGGUCCACUGGGGGCGUGAUGUCAGCCGCCCUCCGGCACUUGGAGAGGUGAGCGCGGCAGCCCGCGCAGCGGGUGACUCGGGGGCUGGGUUUGGAGAAGGACCUGCGGCGUGCUGGAGACUCCGACUUUGGUGUUGCGGCGCGCUAGCGCCCGCGGGCCAUGCCCCACUGACCCUAAGUGAGCACUGCCCCGACUCCGGGAGGGCGAGACCGGAGCACCGGCCAUGGGAAGCCUCCAGCUGGAAGACUUUGCGGCGGGCUGGAUCGGAGGUGCAGCCAGUGUCAUCGUCGGCCACCCUCUGGACACGGUCAAGACUCGCCUGCAGGCCGGCGUCGGAUACGGAAACACCCUCAGCUGCAUUCGCAUGGUGUACAGGAGGGAGAGCGUGUUUGGCUUCUUCAAGGGCAUGUCCUUCCCCCUUGCCAGCAUUGCCGUCUACAACUCCGUGGUGUUUGGGGUCUUCAGUAACACGCAGCGGUUCCUCAGCCAGCACCGCUGCAGGGAGCCUGAGGCCAGUCCUCCACGCACACUGUCGGACCUGCUCCUGGCCAGCAUGGUGGCCGGUGUGGUCUCUGUCGGGCUGGGAGGGCCCGUGGACCUCAUCAAGAUCCGGUUGCAGAUGCAGACACAACCGUUUCGGGACGCCAACCUCGGUUUGAAGUCCAAGGCAGUGGCUCCUGUGGAGCAGCCAGCAUACCAGGGGCCCGUGCACUGCAUUACAACCAUUGUGAGGAAUGAGGGCCUGGCAGGGCUGUACCGGGGGGCCAGUGCCAUGCUGCUGAGGGAUGUCCCAGGCUAUUGCCUCUACUUCAUCCCCUACGUGUUCCUGAGUGAAUGGAUCACACCUGAGGCCUGCACAGGCCCCAGCCCCUGUGCCGUGUGGCUGGCGGGCGGCAUGGCAGGAGCAAUUUCUUGGGGGACAGCGACUCCUAUGGAUGUUGUGAAAAGUCGACUCCAAGCUGAUGGGGUUUAUUUAAACAAAUAUAAAGGUGUCCUGGAUUGUAUCUCCCAGAGUUACCAGAAGGAAGGUCUUAAAGUAAGCCCACAGCAGGCCUGCGGGGUGUUUUUCAGAGGCAUCACUGUGAACGCGGUGCGGGGCUUCCCCAUGAGCGCGGCCAUGUUCCUUGGGUACGAGCUGUCGCUGCAGGCUAUCCGCGGGGACCACGCAGUGACGAGUCCAUGAGCGCCAGGAGGUAAACACAGGGUGACUAGUGUUCCCUGGGCCUCAUCUCUGCAUGUGAAGCCCUGAGAGCUGCAGAUGUUUGGCCUUUGGACCUCCAAGUGGACAUCAAUCAGCAAGCGUGGGCCAGGAUGGUGCAGACACUGACGUGGCCCUUCUGAUGCCUGGGAUGCCUCAUGAGUCACUGGUUCAAGCCCUCCAAGGUCUGAUCCCCAAUGCCCACUCUGCUAGGCUGGCAUCAAAGAGGUUUCCAAGAAAUGUUUGGUCCAGAGAAGUCCAGACCAUGAGCACCAGGGAGCCAGAAACCAUCCAGUGAAACCGUCCAUCCUCGCUCCUCUGGCUGAGGAUGGGGAGGGGCCAGUGAGCUCUGGGCUCAGCCACUCCCUCCAGUCUCAAGUACCACGCCCCCGUGCCUCCCUUUCCUCUCAGCACCGACCAGGUUUCUCCCGGCUCCUGUGCACCGGUGGAUCCCGAGGACAGCAGUAGCGCCUUCCUCAGCCGCACACUGAGUCCAGCGCGUGCUCCUCACUGCGCACUUAUUAGUGUCUGUUGAGUGAUUCAAUCACAUCCUCAGGGUGACUUCUUGAUGAAUCUCAAUUCUCCUGGCACAGAGAAGGUGAUAAUUAUUGCACACUUCACUGUAAGUAAACCCUCCUUGGAGCUUGCCUGCAGGAGGGAACACUGCAGGUUAUGUGACUUUUGCAGAAAAGCUGAGGGAAAGCACCAAGCUAUGCUGGUGAUUAAUCUGCAUCGGUGAGUGUAAGCUCGUCUCUGCCCAUCUCCGGCAACAUGUUGCAUUUCCGAGUUGUGUUCUGAAACCAUCACCAACCAUCAGCAUCUGUCCCUGCUGUGAUCCUGCUUGGGCUGGUGUCUCCCCAUGCUGCAGGUGGUAAACCACAGUGUCACAUGAUUCAACUAUGUCUGGGGCCAGUCAUUCAGAAAACCCACAUGGAGGAGAGGAGAAGAGAAGGUGUUGCAGCUGCGAUCUGGAACUCCAUGCAGCAGGCUGUCCAGGAAGCUGCAGAAACCUCUAUCCCUCCUGGAGCCACCCAGCCCAGCCCCAGAUAAAAUGUCUUGGAGAGAGUGCCCCCCACCGCCUCCCUGGUGACACCCCCUGGAGGAGACUUCCUGUAUGUUACACCCAGGAAACAUGAGGGCUGUGGGCCCUGAAAUAGUCAGCUCUGAAUGUUCUUUUCAAGAGGUGCUUCCCGGCUUCAAGACUUUAGCCGUCUUUCCCACGGGCGCCCCCUGCAGCCUACCUGCAUCUUGCUGAUGAGGAAGUUGAUGUCCAUGACGAUCCCCGUGGAGGUUGGACACCCCCGGCCUGCCACGGAGCACAGGAGCAGGGCAGAGAUGGAGAAACUGAGGCAUAGAGAGGCAAGUAAUUUGCCCAAAACACAAAGCCAGGAAGCCGCAGAAUUUGUAUUCAAGCCCAGAAGUCUGUCUCCUGAUUUCAGCUGUUAAUCCUCCUGAGGUCCUGUUUUUCUGCGGAUCUUUUAUCUGCCUCUCCCACCAGGAUAUAUACUCCAGGGCCUUAUGGGUCCAGUUCACCCCUAUAUUCUCAGCACUUAAGAAGGUGCCUGGGGAAGUGUGGGCACUCACUAAAUGCUUGUUGAAUUAAAACACUAAUUUGAAAAGUAGUUUUUGAAAUAAGAACUUCCCAUUUCUGGGAUUUAUAAGACUUCAAAUCUGAUUUCUAGGGUACAUAUUUGGAGGUAUGUGCAGGUAAGUAAAUAUAGCCUCUUCACAGUAGAUUGAAAAGGUGAGGGGUUCUUUAGCUUAGCACUCUGAGCUAUAAUAGCCAAUGGGGACAAACCCGUAAGAUUUCCUUGCCACCACUGUAAGACUAUGACAAUACUGUUUUUUUCAUUGUGUAUUGUUCCUUAGGAGUGAUGAUGACUGUCAUUUUUCUACUGCACUAUGAGGAAGGGAGUGUCUUGGUGGUAAACAAGGCCUUUACCCUUGCUAAGCUCUGCCUGCUGAAUUCUUCCUCAGCUCCUCCCUAUGUGACCUGUUCUCAUCCUUUAGUACUCAGCUCAACUGCCACCUCCUCAGCAAGACCUCUCUGACCACAGCAAUCACUGCCAUCUGCCCUGUGCCUCUUUCAGUGUGUUUCUCCCAGGAGAAUGUCAGUUCCACGACAGUGGACACUACAACGGACUCUCUUGCUCAUCACUGUGUUCUCAGGGCAUGGUCUAUAGAGAGUGCUCAGGAAUUCCUGCUUAAAUGAAUAAAUGACUAAUACAUUUAA